rnacentral:tRNA from 1 species
GAGGGUAUAGCUCAAGUAGUAAAGUGCAUGUUUAGCAUGCAUGAGUUCCUGGGUUCAAUCCCAGUAUCUCCU